rnacentral:tRNA from 1 species
GCCUUCGUGGCGUAGUGGUCAGCACGCUCGACGCGUAACUGAGAGGUCUGUAGUUCGAUUCCCAGCGAAGGCG